GAUGAUUUAGCACGCUGCUCAGCUAGCUAAGUAGCUAGCUAGCUAGCUAACUUUUGCUAGCACCUCUGUCCUACCUAGCUAGUUUGGAAACAUCAGGGCAACCAUGGCAUCCGUGACAGAGAGAGAGAAAGAUCUGAUGACUCUCAUGGCAUUGCACACAGUCAGUGUGAACCAGAGUGACUUGACACAACAGGCCAAGCAAGUUGUACAAACAAAACGGAAACGACACAGGACGUCUUAUUUAAUGAAAGGGAUUGCGGUCUGCCGUGAAGCGUUCAUCCAUGUAUAUGGCAUCAGUAGAACACGCCUGACUCUCCUCCACCAGUCAUACAAGGAUAAUGGUCUAAUGCCUCCCAUUUAAAAGAGAGCUGGCCCAAGCAAGAACAGGUUACACCUGAAGCAUGAGGACUUACAGCGAGUUGUGGACUUCAUCAAUAACCAUGUAGAGGAUAAUGCAAUAGUAUUAGCAGGAUGCUACCCAGGACACAUCUCAUGGGACAAAAGCAGCGGUGUGGCAUCUCUACAAGGAAUCGAUAACAACACUUGAGGUAUGUGUAGUCUGGCUGUCUUCCUUCAGGAAUCUGUGUAGAAAAUGUAUGCCCCACAUCUCAAGCACGAAGCCCCAGACAGAUCUGUGCUAGCAGUGCAAGAGUAACAACUUUUAGGUCUUCAGACCUGCCAAUCUGCCAUAAACUGUUAAAUCAACCAAGCUGAAGAAGCAAAAGCAGCAUCUCCUGCUUGUUCAGAGUGAGCGGUCUGUCUACCAGAAGAUGGUUUCUGACUGCAAGACCACCUGUCAAGACCUGCAGUUGUCCCUGGGGGCCCUACUGAACCAGCAAGCAAAGACAUCAGGAUGCAUUACAGCUUUGAUUUUGCUCAACAAGUGCACUAUCCUUCUGACCCUAUGCAGCCAGGUCCCAUCCACUUUUGAACUCCUCGCAAGUGUGGCUUGUUUGGCGUCUGCUGUGAAGGAAUACCACAACAAGUCAACUACUUGAAUGAUGAAGGCAUGUCAUCCAGCAAAGGCAGCAGCGCAGUCAUUAACUACAAGCACCAUUUCUUCACCAACUACGGAGUUGGGGAAACAUGUGUGGACCUGAAUUGUGAUAACUGCAGUCGCCAAAACAAGAACAAGUUUGUGCUCUGGUAUUGUGGUAUUGGUAUUGUGGUAUUGGUACUGUGACCAUGCAUAAGCUCCAUCACAGUCUGGACCUUCACUUCCUGAUCACAGGCCACACCAAGUUUGCCCGCGACUGGUGCUUUGGCCUCAUCAAGCAACGCUUCAGAAAAACCAGAGUGAACACUUUGUCCAAGAUUGCUGGUGUUGCACUGUGACAGGGCUCAACAUCCCACAGCUGGUUGGACUGGAGAAUGGUACGGUGCUGGUGGAAACUAUGGCUGGCAACAACACCUGACUCUGUACUUCAGUCCACUGUCACAGAUCAAACAGUACCAGCACUUCAGUUUUACAACUUCGAUGCUCUGGAGCCUGGUGUUGUUGUUGCCAAGGAGCAUUUGGACUCAGUCGGGACCAGGUUUCAGCUGCUGCGCAAUGCUGACAUCCUUCCUCCCAUAGAUGGUCUGCCUGUACAAGCACCAACUGGACUGGACACAGCUAGACAAAUGUAUAUUUUUCAGAAGAUCAGGGAGUUUUGCGAUGAAGAGUCUAUGGACAUCAAAGUCAUAGGCAGGACAGAAACAGGCUCGAAAAAUAUAGAUUCCUUGUUCAUGCGUGGUUUGGACAGACCACUUCAUCACUGGGGGCGAGUUCCCAGUCAUCAGCACUAUCUGCAGUGCCUCUAUGGACAUUCACAUAACUCUCUCCUAACACACGCCAUACGUUGCUGCUACUAUUUAUUUUUUUAUCCUCAUGCUCAAUGAAUUUUCCCCUGAUUGUUUGCAUAAAACUACCUCAUCUAUCACCAGGAUCACUGAUCGUGUUAUUGAUAUUGUUCUUUCUCUACUGCAUUGACACUUGUUCUUUUUUUCUAUAUAUUGACACUAUCUAUUUUUGAUAUUGCUAUGAUGCAAUUAACCAUUUCUCUGUACUGUUUACAUCUUCUGUAGAUACCCAUCCAGUUAGCAAGAUGUGGCUUGGGGUUAUAGCAUUUCUUUCACAUGACCGAUUAAUUUAGACAAGUGUGUCUGGGUAAGCGUCAUCUAAUAUUCAUAAAAUAUUUUUAUCUGGACACUUUCUGUUUACCUGGAAUUUGUCCUUAUUGUAGGCUACUACUUUUACUUAUUUUAGCCUUAAUCUUUACCACACUACAUGACCUUUAGCACAACCUCACAUGUGAAUCCUUAAGGAGA
rnacentral:lncRNA from 1 species